rnacentral:rRNA from 1 species
GCUCAGUAACACGUGGCUAACCUACCCUUGAGACGGAGACACCCCGGGAAACUGGGGCUAAUCCCAGAUAGAUGAGAACUCCUGGAACGGGUUCUCGUCCAAAAGGCGUCUAGGUCAUGCUUCUAGGCGUCGCUCAAGGAUGGGGCCGCGGCCGAUCAGGCUGUUGGUGAGGCAACGGCUCACCAAACCUUUAACCGGUACGGGCCGUGGGAGCGGGUGCCCGGAGAUGGGAACUGAGACAAGGUCCCAGGCCCUACGGGGCGCAGCCGUUGCGAAAACUCGUCAAUGCACGAAAGUGUGAACGGGCUACCCCGAGUGCUGUCCGCUGAGGAUGGCUUUUCUCUGCUGUAAGGAGGCGGAGGAAUAAGGAGAGGGCAAGUCUGGUGUCAGCCGCCGCGGUAAUACCAGCUCUCCGAGUGGUGGGGAUGUUUAUUGGGCUUAAAGCGUCCGUAGCCUGCCCUUCAAGUCUUUCGUUAAAUCCAGCGAUUNCAAUCGUUGGACCGCGGGAGAUACUGUUGGGCUAGGGGGCGGGAGAAGCCGACCGUAUNUCCGGGGUAGGGGUAANNNCUAUAAUCCCGGGAGGACCACCAGUGGCGUANGCGGUCCGCUAGCCGUGCUCGACGGUGAGGGACGAAGCUGGGGGAGCAAAC